GGUCGGUGAUGAGCGUUGGCAUGUAUUAUCUGACCUAGAGGUGAUGUCUAUCCCCGCUUUAGCUCUAGAAUUACUCUGAGACCCA
rnacentral:snoRNA from 1 species